rnacentral:rRNA from 1 species
UACAGAGGGUGCGAGCGUUGUCCGGAAUCACUGGGCGUAAAGGGCGCGUAGGCGGUCUGCUAAGCGUGCGGUGAAAGCCCGGGGCUCAACCCCGGGUCGGCCGUGCGAGCUGGUGGACUGGAGCUUGUCAGAGGCAGGCGGAAUUCCGGGUGUAGCGGUGGAAUGCGUAGAGAUCCGGAAGAACACCGGUGGCGAAGGCGGCCUGCUGGGACAGUGCUGACGCUGAAGCGCGACAGCGUGGGGAGCAAACAGG